rnacentral:lncRNA from 1 species
ACAUAGCGAAAGUCUUAUUACAAAAAUAAAAGAUAAAUAUAAAACGAACUAAGGAUCAUCCUCGGCGUCAAUAAAGUCAACUCGGAGACGCCACCUAGAUCAGAUCAAACUCCUCGUUGUGUGGCUCCUCCUGAACCACAUGUUCUUCUCCUGUGGGGGGUGUGAGACAGCAAGGGUGAGCUCACACAUGAUCAUAGCUCAACAAGUUGUGGGGAAACCAGUGGGCAUAAACUCACCAAAGGUGGGAGUUCAUGUGAUGUGUAAGGCUAAUCAACAACAGGGGUUAAAGUUGAGCAUUGCUUUUAAUCAGUUGGUCAAAAUUUUAUUAGCAGUUACUAGAUGUAAGUAAAUACCAAACCUUAAAUAAAGUAAUAGAAUAAAAUUAAUAAAUAAUCCCAUGCAAUGCAAAUGACAAAUUGAAUUUAAGUUCCAUAAAUUAAUCAUGCGAGAGUCCUGAGCUGCUCAUGACCGUGAGCUCGGCUAGUAUAGCAGUUUUACACUCUGCAGAGGUUGUACCCUAUACCCAUAAGUCAUGUUACCCAUCUGCCACGGGGUUGUACGGGCCCCAUACACCUCUACCAAGGAAGCGAGGCAGGGUAACACUACGAGGUCUUUACAAAGUUCCACUAGCUUCCGAAAACCCGUUACAGUUUAUGGGAAGAGCACUUGCAAGAAUCCCCCGUCUGACCGCCAUCGCAGCAAAAUCAACCCGAGAACCUCCCUGCAUGCAACUCCCCUACUGCCCUUGUCCCUUUCGGGUAAGGUAGUCUUCCACUAGCUUUCCUAAAUAGUCAGCCAAGGGUGCCCCAUUCCACCCUUUGUGGUGGUACGUGUUUCUCAAGUUAAGAUCCAUGUUCCAAUUAACAUUAAUGAUCUUGACAUGAACAGAAAUAAAAUAACAAAAUAACUGGAACAUGUAUACAAUAAAUUAUUAUCCCAAAACCAUGUAAAGCAAUAGCAAAACUAACCAAGUGAUUCAGGGAUAACAAGGUAAUAUGGAUAAACAAACUAGGGUUACCUAUUGGGUCCCAUCAAAAUUAAACCUAUGCAUGAAUAAUGACAUUAAAGAACAUUAUUGGGUAAUAAAAGUGGUCAAGGGCACAACUUGCCUUCAAUGAGUUCCUGCUCAACAACUUCUAUAUGCUGUGCACCAGGAUCCUCAGUCACAGGCUCUACUACUCGCCACAAUACAAACCAUCACAAUAUAUAGAAAAAAUUAACAUCACACCAACAUGUAAACAAAAUACAUAAUAAUAAUCUACACAUUAAAAUAAAAUCCUAGGAACAGGAAUCAUAAAUUUUGGAGUUAUAGAUUUUAAGAUAUGAAUUUCCAAAGGUUUUAUGUGCUUAAAAUAGGAUUAAGUGAGAAAUUAUUUUUCUUAUUGUUUUCAUGUCAAAACAUAGACUCUAAGUGAUAGAGAAUAAUAUUACAAAAUUUUAGAAAUCGGAAUGGAUCAAUUUGGACUAAAAAUGAAUUUUCUACGAUUUAAUCAAGUUCUAGCAUUUAUUUUUGUAUUAAAAAUCAAUUUCUAAAAUUAAAUAACUGAAUUCUCAGAGCUAUGGACUGGGCGCACUAUUUAUAGAGAACUCAGGGGCCUCGGGGUAAAUUGUCCUAGACACAGUGAACAACCGAGGUGGAUGGCGGGUCAUUUUCAAGAUUUCAGAGGGGCUCUUUAGCAAAACUGACUCGCGAAGGGGUAUGCAGUGCCCUCGGCUGUUGGAUUAGAAGUCUACGGCCCAGAUUGGAUCCGCUACCCAGCGAUCCGGUACGCCCUCAUCAACCGUAGACGGGCAGAUCGACGGUCGAGAUUUAAAUACCUGAGAUGUGAACACAUCCCUCAGAUCGCAAUCUACGGUCCAUUUUCCCUACGCGCGAAAGGUUACGAAAGACUUAAUCCAGGCUAUCGCUGCGGAGAUCAACGACCCGAAUCACUCAGCGCUCCCCUUCUAAUCUAGACCGCCCAAACAAAAUCGGACGGAGAGAGCUCAUCAGUCCAAGGCCGGCCGCCCCGACCGACGGCGCGCAAGCAUGGCACGGCGGCGCCAUCGUCGGCCAGGCAAAUUCCUAGUUUACGCGCCCUAACCACUAAUCCGACCGGAGCUAGGCAUUGCGACGAACCAAACGAACGCAUCCGAGGAAAAUCAUACCGGAAGUUAUGCGCGCCGACGAGCUGUCCACGAUGAUCGCAGCCUUCAGUUCACGUGCGACCCACAGCGAGCAAUUGCCGCCAGCGGCCAAGCGAAUCCGACCCAAAAGUCGGUCCUACACGUGCGAUGAGGACCACAGAUGCACCCGGAAUAGUCCUCCACGAUCAAAAGGCUGACCGGGGUUGUGUCGACGGCGGCGGCACAGAUUUGGUUCUCUCUCCCCCUCACGCUGUUUUUCCUCCUCCUCAGUACGGGCGGCUUUGGUUCGCGAUUGAGGGAAACCCAUAUGCACGGAAGCGCGUGAGGUAUUUAACAGCAUGAAUUGGUCACGGAUGC